rnacentral:lncRNA from 1 species
UGCAGUAUCUAACAUAAAACAAGGUGUUCUGGGUGAUGUUUUUUGGGACAGUGAGAUAGGUGUCUUACAGGCUUAGCUUGUUACAUUCAGAUAGUCCUGUAAAGGAGUUGUUGCCCAUUUAACUGAUGAGGAAGCUUAAAUAAAGAAAAUUCCUUGCCCAAGACAGCAAAUUUUUGUUUUAUUUUUCAUUUUUGAGACAGGGUCUUGUUAAAUUGCUGAGGGUCUUGCUACAUUGCAGAGGCUGGCCUCUAAUUUGCAAUUCUUCUGCCUCAGCCUCUUGAGUUGCUGGGAUUAUAGAUGUGAGCCACCAUGCCCAGCUGCAAGUCUUUUUUAUAGCACUUCACUCAUUUAGCUUUCUCAGCAAUCCUGUGAGAGAGAUGGUAUUAUUAUCCCCAUUUAUAGAUGGUGAAACUGAGGUAUAGAGAGGAUAAAUAGUUUGCCCAAGGUCUUGUCAUUAGUAACGGAAGGAGCUGGCAGUUGAGCACCUCAGUAGCCUGGUUCAGGAAGAAGUGUGUUCUAACUAACCACCAUAAAUUGUAGUGUCCAGUCUUAGUAAACCCAGGGCCUCACACAUGCUAGGCAAGUGUUACAGUAAUGAACUACAUUCCCAGUCCCCAGCCUUAGUCAUUCUGACCUUGGGAGUUUUCAUUGUUUCCACCAGUCAUGCUGUUGGUCCAUAAUUCUUCUGAUUUGGUGAUAAUUUUGUCAUCGCCAUGAUUUUUCUGACUUCAUAUCUAAAAAUGCUUUGAGGCAUAAGGGUCAUAGCAAAUUAAGGUGAAUUUAAGUAAAUUUGGGGUUGGGAAUUCCGUGAUUCACUUCAAGAUUAUAGGGGAUAUGUGUAAAUGUGAAUUCAGAGUUGGACAGUAGAUCUGUGUUAAUUCAAAUAACCUGAUACAAGUGAGACAGGGUCUCACUCAGUUGCUUAGGGUGUCUCUAAGUUGUUGGGGCUGGCCUUGAACUUGCCAUUCUCCUGCCUCAGCCUCCUGAGUCUUUGGGCGCCCAGCAUAAAUAAAAUUCUCUAAUGCUAAGAUCAGCAGUAGAGUGCUUUGGACUUCAGAAUUGGAAUCUUGGUUCAUUCAUUAGAAAAUCCUAAAAGCAAGACAAAAUAAAAAAUCUUGGAAAGACCUUAAGAAGCUUGUAAGCCAGGACCUGUCAUUGUAUAAAUUUGUGUCUACUGCCAGACUGCCCAGCUUGUUAGGUAGUGGGCCCAUACUAACCCCCAUCUGCUUGGUGGCUCUCUGGAUUUGUUUCCAUGGGGAUAUUAGCAAGUAUUACCUCCUUUCUGAUUACAGCAGUUUCCCUUUAGCUUUCAGUUCCUUUAACCAAUAAGAUAUAUUAAAAAUGAAGCAGUCAAAAUACCAAAAACUGUUUUGCCUUGGUAGUCCGUCCACUUACUAUUAUUUUAUUUUCUUUUAUUAUUUUUGGUACUUGGGAUUGAACCUAGAGGCAUUUAACCACUGAGCCACAUCCACAGCCCUUUUUUAAUUUUUAUUUUGAGACAGGUUCUUGCUAAGUUGCUUAGGACCUCACUAAGUUGCUGAGGCUGUCUUUGAACUUGCAACCCUUCUGCCACAGCCAUCCAAGUCUCUGGAUAAUAAGUGUGCACCACCGUGCCCGGCUCUUUUUCUGGAAUUCUUUUCUUUCUUUCUUCCUUUUUUCUACAGGUGCAUUGCACUCAUUUCCCCCAGGCCAGCUGUGAGCCUUUCCUUUUGGGAGCUCCUUGACUUUUCCCAUCUCACCUCCACUCUCCAAAUAAAAAUUGAUGACUCUAAUAUUUUUCCCCUGAGCUGUAUGGCCUUUA